rnacentral:rRNA from 1 species
AACGAACGCUGGCGGCAUGCCUAACACAUGCAAGUCGAACGAGACCUUCGGGUCUAGUGGCGCACGGGUGCGUAACGCGGGGGAACCUGCCCUUAGGUUCGGAAUAACUCCCCGAAAGGGGUGCUAAUACCGGAUAAUGUCUUCGGACCAAAGAUUUAUCGCCUUUGGAUGGGCCCGCGUUGGAUUAGCUAGUUGGUAGGGUAAAAGCCUACCAAGGGGACGAUCCAUAGCUGGUCUGAGAGGAUGAUCAGCCACACUGGGACUGAGACACGGCCCAGACUCCUACGGGAGGCAGCAGUGGGGAAUAUUGGACAAUGGGCGAAAGCCUGAUCCAGCUAUGCCGCGUGAGUGAUGAAGGCCUUAGGGUUGUAAAGCUCUUUUACCCGGGAUGAUAAUGACAGUACCGGGAGAAUAAGCUCCGGCUAACUCCGUG